CCAUAUAAACUACUAAUGUUCUCUUCCUCAGAGUUCCUGCCAGACCUUGGACCUUAACUUGCUUCUGACACAGACUUUGCUAGAAGCUUCCAGAGCAGGGCUGAGCACCUACAGAUGACUGGAGAACACCAAAGGCAGGCCAGGUGGGAAUGGAUGGCGGGAAAAGCCCUGUGAAUCUCAAGGCACCACACAGGGCACAGAGGGAGACCCCAGGUAACAUGCACAUGGUCAAAAAAUGGAACAAUAUGAACAAGAUAGUAAGCAAAGUCUUACUGCAAUGCCCUUCCAGUUUGCCCCAGUACCAGCCCUGCCUCCUCCAGAUUUCACAUUUCAAGAAAAUCCUAGCACUCACCGGUCGGUAGUAAAAAUGUACCCCACGUGAUCCUUACAGCUUAACAGCAGGACACUGAAGGCUACAGCAAAGAGCACUGAAGGUAAAAACGGCAGAAGAAACAACACAGUGAACAAGAAGAUCCACAGGAAGUGGAGGAGCCUGGGUUUUGCAUGCAGAGACUGCACCAAGAGCCUCGGGUAAAGGGGUCUCAGCACCUGUAAUCAGCAGGGAAACGGUAGAGGACUUCCGUGCCUGCUCCAUGUCUCCAGCACCCAGAGCGUUUCCUACCCGGACACUGGCAGCCACACUGAAGCCUGCAGGGACCUAAAAUAAAAAGGAAACCUGCAACAAUGAGUGAGAAACUGCAGAGCGAGAACACGUGCAGAGAAGCAGCCUCAUGCCUCACACCUGGUGGGAAAACUUGGUCCUAAAAGUUUUGAAAAGACUGAUUUGCAACAUCCCCUUUGUCUAGCCGGGAACUCCCACGCUACUGUGGAAACUGAGCCCCAGGUUACGAUGCUUAGCACAAACUGGGCUUUGCUGCAGAGCUUCCAACCUCUGCGACAUGAGGGUGCUGCACAACCAUGUUCCUCCUCUGGGUGUCGGGGGAUGGACUGACUCACCAGGAGCCCAGGUUUUGUCUGUUUUUUUUUUGUUUUUGUUUUUAAAUAGGGACAGAGGUCAGGCGUGGUGGCUCAUGCCUGUA
rnacentral:lncRNA from 1 species